rnacentral:rRNA from 1 species
UACGUAGGGGCAAGCGUUGUCCGGAUUUAUUGGGCGUAAAGAGCGUGUAGGCGGCCAUACAGGUCAGCUGUGAAACUCGAGGCUCAACCUCGAGACGUCGGUUGAAACCGUUUGGCUAGAGUCCGGAAGAGGAGAGUGGAAUUCCCGGUGUAGCGGUGAAAUGCGCAGAUAUCAGGAGGAACACCAAUUGCGAAGGCAGCUCGCUGGGACGUUACUGACGCUGAGACGCGAAAGCGUGGGGAGCAAACAGG